AUGCUAUGAAUAUUAUCUUUGUCUUUUCCUCAUGGGGGCCUGGUGUGCAAUGGCUGUAGACAGCAGCCUCUUUGGUAGUAAAGAAACCUGUUGCUUAUACAAAUGCCCCAAGGAACCUUGGAGACAGUU
ensembl:snoRNA SNORA70 Small nucleolar RNA SNORA70